GCUUCUAACUAAAGGACUUCAAUGGUAAAUUUAUAAUAAGAAUUCUGUGAAUCAGUCUCUAUAUACUGUGCCUCUGAUGGCUCACAUGAAUACUAGCUAUAUUAGCUAGCAAGGUCAAUUGGCAUUAUCCAAAGAGAUUAAGGAUCAAUUCCAUCACACCCAAGGUGGUAAAGAUUAUGGAUGGUUAACCCUAGGGGUGGUUGUGUAACCCAGCCAUUGAAUAUUUGUGUUUGCAUGCGUGCGUAUAUGAGCAACCAUUAUGCUCUGGGAUUAGUUUUCAAUGUGUAGCAUCCAGUUAUUAGAAAAUUAAUCCAAAAUAUAGAAUAGAUUAUAAAUUUCAAACCUGGGUUAGGGGUUGAAAUGCUCUGGUUGGUGCAUUUUUGUCUCAGCAAAUAGUUUGCUUUGAUUUUUUAUAGGUUGAAGCUAUUGUUUUCAUUGGAAAUGUGGCAUCAGACGCUACAUUGUGGAUUUUGAAAGUAAUGAAGUUUAGGCUAAAAACUCAACUCAAUUCAACUAAGUCUUUAUCCCAAAAA
rnacentral:misc_RNA from 1 species